AACGGGUAACGCCAGCUGCCACAAACCCGUAGAUCCGAACUUGUGGUGACUGGCUGCGCAAGCUCGUAUCUAUAGGUAUGUGUCUUCCUGGCAAAUACAGCU
ensembl:miRNA mir100-2 microRNA 100-2